rnacentral:piRNA from 2 species
UUCUUAGGUCUACUGAUGAACAGGGA